UACAGAGGGUGCAAGCGUUAAUCGGAAUUACUGGGCGUAAAGCGCGCGUAGGCGGCUGCCUAAGUCGGGUGUGAAAGCCCCGGGCUCAACCUGGGAACUGCACUCGAUACUGGGCGGCUAGAGUAUGAGAGAGGGAGGUAGAAUUCCACGUGUAGCGGUGAAAUGCGUAGAUAUGUGGAGGAAUACCGGUGGCGAAGGCAGCACUCUGGGACGUGACUGACGCUGAGACGCGAAAGCGUGGGGAGCAAACAGG
rnacentral:rRNA from 1 species